AUGCUAUGCGCUUCCUCCACAUACAAGACCACCGCAGAUCAAAACACACAUCUCUCUCACUCACUCACUCGCCUCACUCCACUGGACAUCCAUCCAUGGAGCUCUUCGCAGCAGCAGCAUCAGCCGAGGAUCAGAAGCCGUGCAGCAGCAGGCUGUUCAGCAGGAAGAGGAGCGGCGGCAAGGCGGGCAUGGGCGUGCGCGGCGCCGACAAGGGCCGGUCGUCCUUCUCCGGGCGGUGCGCGCGGCUCGUCAAGGAGCAGCGCGCGCGGUUCUACAUCAUGCGCCGCUGCGUCACGAUGCUGGUGUGCUGGCGCGAGUACGCCUGACGCCUGAGCCCUCGGUGUCCCUGAUGCAAUGGCGCCGGACAUGAUGCGGAGCCGCAUGCAGGACGCGAGCAGCAAGCCGAGGGGAGAGGAGGAGGAGGAGGGGAAGCCGCCGCCGCCGCCGAGCAGGUCAAGAGACGCUCGAUCCGCCUCCGCGGUCUUAAUUAGGGAACCACGAACGAACCUUGUGUAAAGAGAAGAUUAUUAUUUUUUUUAUUAUUUUCUCUCCUGCUUUAAUGCUCUCGUAGUCUUGUUCCUUUAGCACCUCGAUCGAGCCUUACGUUCUUCCUUCCGUUCGGUGCGGGGCGGAGAUUUGCAGUCUCACGGCGCUUCUGCUGUUCCAAUGUAACGUGAGCAUCUCUAGUAUACAGGAACUGGAGCUGUAGCUGUAGUUUAGCUAGUUGCUUUGCUUGGCGGUGCUGUGGCGUCUGCGCCCCCUUGCCUUGGCGCGGUGCGUGAGAGCCGUCCUCAUCGCGCAUCGGAGUGCGAUUCGACUGCUGCUCCUCUUGCUACUAUUUGUUUACAUUUUCCUCCCCUCCACUGUGUAAUCCGUAAUCCUGAAAAGGCGGCCAGAAAGAAAAAAAACACCGCUAGUUCUCGCUGCCAAAUGCAUGUGCCGGACGACCCGGAUCAGCGUUCGUCACUGACCGUA
rnacentral:misc_RNA from 1 species